AACGAACGCUGGCGGCAUGCCUAACACAUGCAAGUCGAACGAACCCUUCGGGGUUAGUGGCGCACGGGUGCGUAACGCGUGGGAAUCUGCCCUUUGCUUCGGAAUAACUCAGGGAAACUUGUGCUAAUACCGGAUGAUGUCUUCGGACCAAAGAUUUAUCGGCAAGGGAUGAGCCCGCGUAGGAUUAGGUAGUUGGUGGGGUAAAGGCCUACCAAGCCGACGAUCCUUAGCUGGUCUGAGAGGAUGAUCAGCCACACUGGGACUGAGACACAGCCCAGACUCCUACGGGAAGCAGCAGUGGGGAAUAUUGGACAAUGGGCGCAAGCCUGAUCCAGCAAUGCCGCGUGAGUGAUGAAGGCCCUCGGGUCGUAAAGCUCUUUUACCAGGGAUGAUAAUGACAGUACCUGGAGAAUAAGCUCCGGCUAACUCCGUG
rnacentral:rRNA from 1 species